rnacentral:misc_RNA from 1 species
AAGUCGUAACAAGGUUUUCGUAGGUGAACCUGGGAAGGAUCACUUGGUUUCCGCAAGGAUAACUGAUACUUACUCAGGUCGUGACCCUCACGGUCAACGGACAGGUCUCUGGGGCUUGGCUCCCCAUAUUAACCCCGUAUUGUGAAAGUCGGGCUUGCAAACUACAGGCCCACAAAACGAACAACUGUUAACAAUGGAUAUCUUGGUUCUC